UACGGGGGGGGCAAGCGUUGUUCGGAAUUACUGGGCGUAAAGGGCGUGUAGGCGGCCAACUAAGUCCGACGUGAAAUCCCCAGGCUUAACCUGGGAACUGCGUCCAAGACUGGGAGGCUUGAAUCCGGGAGAGGGAUGCGGAAUUCCAGGUGUAGUGGUGAAAUGCGUAGAUAUCUGGAGGAAUACCGGUGGCGAAGGCGGCAUCCUGGACCGGCAUUGACGCUGAGGAGCGAAAGCCAGGGGAGCAAACGGG
rnacentral:rRNA from 1 species